GUUGGAAUUGACCUGAUCUCCUUGGAUCUUUAAAACCCCAUUUUACAGAGGAUCAUAUCGUAGCAACACGUAUUUGUAUCUGACGCACCAAUUCAGCACAUUUUCCAGCACAGAUCGUUGUGUGUUCACAGGUUGGGAGGAUGGCAGCUCGAGUGUAUUUGUCGUUGAGUUCACAGAUCGGGAGGAUGACAGCUCGAGUUUGUUUGUCGUUGAUUGCCGUUUUGUUGUAUCUGUUCGGGUAGUUGAGCAUAACUCACGCUAUUCAAAGAGGAACCAGAGUGGACGGUUUAUGUCCGGCGAGGCUGAUGGUCGUGCCGUCCCGUCGAGGAUGUUCUUCUGAUAAAGACUGCCCUGGAGGACACAAAUGCUGUCAAUUUGACUGUGGGCCCGUUUGCGUGCUGCCUGUUUUCAUGAAGCCUGGUCAAUGUCCGAUACCGGAGAUGAUUCCUCUGCGUGCUGAAGGCUGUUUCCAUGAUGGCCAG